GCAGGGGUUCCCGAGCGGUCAAAGGGGCAGGACUUAAGAUCCUGUGGCUUAGUGCCUUCGACGGUUCAAAUCCGUCCCCCUGCA
rnacentral:tRNA from 1 species